UGUUGGCAGUCCUGGGAGUCCAACU
rnacentral:sRNA from 1 species